GCCCUGAUGGCGGAAUUGGUAGACGCGCUGGACUCAAAAUCCUGUGGUAGCAAUACCGUGGGGGUUCGAUUCCCCCUUGGGGCACCA
rnacentral:tRNA from 1 species